UUCGCCAGGGGACUACGAGCGCUAGCUUAAAACCCAAAGGACUUGACGGUGUUUCACCUCCGCCUAGAGGAGCCUGUUCUAGAACCGAUAACCCUCGUUUAACCUCACCAUCCCUUGCUCCUGCCGCCUAUAUACCGCCGUCGCAAGCUUACCCUGUGAAGGCCCUACAGUAAGCAUAAUGGGUUCAGCCCAGAACGUCAGGUCGAGGUGUAGCUUACGAGAUGGAAAGAAAUGGGCUACAUUUUCUAUCACAGAAUAUAACGAAUUACACCAUGAAAUGGGUGCCUGAAGGUGGAUUUAGCAGUAAAAA
rnacentral:rRNA from 1 species